UACGAAGGGUGCAAACGUUGCUCGGAAUUAUUGGGCGUAAAGCGCACGUAGGCGGCUUAGCAAGUUCGGAUGUGAAAGCCCUCGGCUCAAACCAAGGAAGUGCAUCCGAAACUGCUGAGCUUGAGUACUUAAGAGGAUCGCGGAAUUCCCGGUGGUAGAGGUGAAAUUCGUAGAUAUACGGGAGGAACACCAGUGGCGAAGGCGGCGAUCUGGGAAGAUACUGACGCUGAGGUGCGAAAGCGUGGGAGCAA
rnacentral:rRNA from 1 species